GGGAAAGCCUUUGUGAAUGAGCUCAUUGAAGUGGAGAGAUGAAAAUGAGGGCACUCUGAAACUGACAGGGCAUUCAAAGGAUUCCUGAGGGGCAUUCCUGUGCCCAGAAAACAAGGCGGGGGAUAUCUUCCCAAACUCCUUGCAUGACAAGAAAUCUGCACAGAAGAUAGGAAGACCGGGUCACCCUGGGCCCCCUCAGCGACGUGGUUGCUUUAUGUUCUGUUGAGAAACCAUGGAGCCACUAUGCGAAGAAAGCCUGUUCUUUUUACUGGUGCCAAGAAAAAGAUUAGGAUUUGGGGCACAUAUGAAGAACAUGCAAGAUUGUUGCAUAGGUGCACACAUGGCAGUGUGAUUUGCUGCCUUCCUCCCCAUCACCUGUAUCUGGCAUUUCUCCCCAUGCUAUCUCUCCCCAACUCCCCACCCCCACUGUCCCUCCCCUAUUUCCCCCUGACAGACCCCAGUGUGUGAUGCUCCCCUCCCUGUGUCCAUGUGUUCUCAUUAUUCAACACCCACCUACGAGUGAGAACAUGUGGGGUUUGACUUUCUGUUCUUGUGUCAGUUUGCUGAGAAUGAUGGUUUCCAGGUUCAUCCAUGUCCCUACAAAGGACAUGAACUCAACGUUUUUGAUGGCUGCAUAAUAUGUCAUGGUGUAUAUGUGCCACAUUUUCCCUGUCC
rnacentral:lncRNA from 1 species